rnacentral:lncRNA from 1 species
GCCCGCUAGCUUACAGAUGCAUUGACAGAUUUCAGCUUUUGCCCAAAAUUCAAAAUGAAGUCUGCGAGAACCAUCAUUUCAGCGAACGGUCAAAAAAUAAUUAUUAUAUUCCCCUUUAAUCUCGAUAUAUGUGGAAAAUAAUGCAUGUAUGAAAGAACGAACAAUAAAAUCAGUACUAGUGAUGAUCCUGUGAAAAAAAUAAAAAAGGACAAGUACAAGUUAAACAAUAAUAUAAGGACUAUAAAAAGAUGCCCGAAGUUAUAGAACGCAAACUCAAAGUUCUUAUAAACGUGCUAAUAUAAAUGCAUUCCAAUAUCGAUGAUUGUAUAACAUCAGAGUAGAUUUUAUACAGCAACGACAUGCACAAACUAAAGCUGAAGUUGAGAUGGUUACAAUUGGUAAGACAAUGGCAAUCUAACAAACACAGUUUUAG